UACGUAGGUGGCAAGCGUUGUCCGGAUUUACUGGGCGUAAAGAGCGCGCAGGCGGUCGUUCAAGUCGCGUGUGAAAGCCCCCGGCUCAACUGGGGAGGGUCACGCGAUACUGAUCGACUCGAAGGCAGGAGAGGGUAGUGGAAUUCCCGGUGUAGUGGUGAAAUGCGUAGAUAUCGGGAGGAACACCAGUGGCGAAGGCGACUACCUGGCCUGUUCGUGACGCUGAGGCGCGAAAGCUAGGGGAGCAAACGGG
rnacentral:rRNA from 1 species